rnacentral:lncRNA from 1 species
AGUGCAGUGCCGUGUUGCCCUCGUCGUCCGGCAGGUCCACGCCCGCCCUGGCUUGUAGCAGCAGCCGUAUCAACUCCACCUGGCCCAGGUAGGCAGCCACUUGCAGAGCGGUCCUGCCUUGGUUCUUGGUGUCCACCUGCCAAGAGUGCCAGCAGCCUGCAGCCGCUUCACUGUGUCAAGGUCGCCGAUGACCCGGACCACGUCGCCCACCCAGAAGGAGUGGUGCUGAGCGACAAAGAGGGGCGUGAGGGGCCCCCCAGCUGUGUGUGGCUGCCCAGGCUCAUGCAACAGGAGGGCAACCUGCUGAGCUCCACGAGACAGCACUAACCAGGAGCAUCUUAGCCCAGCCGCCUCCCUCCCGCCCACGAAGCUGUCCUGCCUUCCUGGUGUCCUGGAACAGAGGGAGGCCCUAACCUGCCC